AUAGAAUCAGUUUUUGAGAUCCCGAAUAAUGUGAGAGGAUUUUUAAUUAUGAUGGCGACUAAUUUGAGGCGGAGGAUUACCCAGAGAUGGAAGGAAAGUGGGUAGGGAGGACGCCGGAGGGAGUGGGACUGGUGGUGAAGCUUGCUGGCGGCGAUUAAGUAGCAGACAGGGAUGAUUGCGUUUUGUUGAUCAUAAAACGAGAGAUAAGUAUUUUUGUGAGUGACUGAUAGCUUAUUUUCUUCGCAGUAAACUGUCAAAGAAUAAUACUGAACAGAAUUUGCAGUGUCGCCACCUGCUUUUUAUUAAUAUGAAGAUAUGAAUUAAUAUAUAUUUUGUGAGGGUUUUUGGAGUUUAGAUUUUUGAGUUUCGUAUGAAUGUGAAACAAAUCAUCGAGCUUUGAUUUUAAUGAGACUGUUGAGUUUAUAAACUAUCAGUGUUGAUUAUUGUUGUGUAUAAUGAGUUUCUAAUCUAUCGCCUCUUUUUUGACUUGAAACUUGAUCGCCCAGAAAAACAGAAGUGGUCUUCCUCUGCUUGAAGGUAAAACGUAAGCCAAUCUGAAGAAAAGUACAAGAAGAGCAAGGGUUGGCGACUUGGCGGUUGCAAUGUAGGUCAUUCUUUUACUUCUAUUAAGAGAAAGUAUGUCCUCUGAAAAUGAGAAACACGUCUACCCACGCCUCUUCAGUUUGCUCCUACUCUCCAUCGACAAUAUAUGAGCUCAUGUUGUAUCUCAGUUCUGACUCAUGUCUAACUCCCCCACCACAAAUUCAUACACAACAAUAGACAAGAAAUAGCUCAAAUUUUAUCUGAUCACCGGCCAUACAGGUUCGAUCGAUGGACUAAGCCAUAUAUACUACAGCUUCACAUCACAAUGCUGCAAUAGUUCCAAGUAUAUGAAGACAACUUCAAACUCUCCAAACAGAUCUCAAAAAUGCAAUCUGGCAUUCCGAACUGAGGUGUAGCACAUUAUUGUACGGUUAUGGACUCUUUUAUUUUGUGUUUACGGUCGUGUUUCAUUGUUUUGAUCUUUGGUUCCAAACUAUAGCCUGAGCAUCUUAGAGAGCAUGCCAAAGAAAGAACAAAUGCAAUUUCUUAUGAACCUGAUGUGGAGAAGACCCUAAGAAGAAACACUUCUUCGAACCCCUUUCGAUAUACCCGAAACCGCACAGAAAUCACUCACUCACCCAUCUUCUUCAUGGGGAUUCUUGCAUAGAUGAGAAAUGAUUAGCACAAGACGUUUGUUGGUUGUUUAAUAUUCAUGCGGGAUAUUGUCUCCUUCUUCACUAUUUGGUAAAGCUAGAGGAAACUGUGAAACAAAUAUACUAUGGUUAAAUUAUAUACAUGAUGGGGCUGAUUAUUUGAA